GUCAAGAUGGCCGAGUUGGUUUAAGGCGCCAGUUUCAGGUAUUGGUCCGAAAGGGCAUGGGUUCGAAUCCCAUUCUUGACA
rnacentral:tRNA from 1 species